GAGGUGCCACGUGUGGUUCACAUGGUUGAAAACGGAUCCUGCCUUGGCACGGUCGACACGUAGCUAGGGGGUUCUCUUGUGUAGCGAAGAAAUGGGGCGGACCGGACCAUGCCUUCUCCCGAGUCCCGGCCAACCCGGCGGCGCGCUUUGGCCAACGUCGUCGCGUUCUUCGUACGCCACAGGCGGUGGCUGCGUCCUUGCCUCGCGAAUAUUUUUCGCCCUGCACGCUCGCCGCCACCGCCUAGCCGUCCUCUCCCCUUCCCUUUCCUGGAGGCACCACGCACUGCACGGAGGUUGCCUUCUUCCGCGGCCAUCCUCUUCUGCCGCCCGGAUCUCGCGGCGUGCCGACGCUGUGCCUACGGGCCUCACUGCGAAGGCACCGAGGUGGACACAAGCGUCGAGCCUUCAGCCCCUCACCCAUGACACUAGCGCCGGUACAAAAAUGUACAGCCGCCAAAUCCUUGGUUCCUCCUCGACGUCGUCGCCGGUUCAGAUGGAGAUGCAGUUCAUGGCGGCCUCCGAUGAAAGCCUAGCUGUUGUCAUCACCUACCUCAAGGCCCAUGCUGUCGGCCUCCUCGACCUCUUCCCGCCGCCGUAGCCGCACAUCCAGAUUUGCCUCCUUAUUCCAAGAUAUGGCCGUCUUUGUCCGCGCUGCCCCAGCCCCGGCGUCGGAGCUCUGCUUCAGGCUACCAAGCUAAUUGGGGAGGUGCUGUUGCUAUAGAGAAAAUAUGAUCCACUGAAUGGAUUCAUUGAGAAGAUUAAUAAGGCGCUCUGAAAUGGAUGUGAUUCCAUAGCUUCACUGUUGGCUUCUGCAUUGUAAGCUCUGUUUCAGUCAAGAGUGCUCUGUGAAUCACUCUGCAGAUCUUUCAUGAUGUUUUGGAAAUUUUCCACAUGUUAGAAGGAUAGGCGCCAACUAUGGCACUAUCUAAAAAUUUACCUUCAACGUUGAUGGGGAUUUACUUUCCCUGUAAUGUUGAGCAAACAAGCAUUCAGCUUUAGGAUGCAAAUUGUCGUAGGCUGGAUAUUUACUUUCUUCAUGGUGUUCAACAUUAAGCUUUAGUGUAAAUGGGCUCUAA